rnacentral:misc_RNA from 1 species
GCCGAUACAGGCCGCUAGAGGCUAUCGGUCUAAGACUCAUCUGGAAAUAUGUACCGGUUUCUGGUGGACUGGGUGUUCGAACCGAUGAGCGUGCAAGGAGUUGUAACAGCGCGUUCAUGCGGGGGAUUUAAGAUAGGUACACAACCUGAUGAGGAGACAGGCCAUGACCUUGCAAGAUAGCAGCAACGCCAAGAUUGAAGUGAUCCGCCAGCAGCAGGUGUUGCCUUGCUCGUAUAUCGAUGCCAAGGGCCGCGAGGUGCAGAUUACCGAAGAGAUGAUCCAGCAAGCCUGCAGCGAGCUGGAACAGCGACUGGUCAAACCUGCCCAGCAAGGCUGAAGUGCCCACGCUCUUUCAAACCCGGCCCAGGUGGCCGGGUUUUUU